ACAUGCUUAUAACAUAGCAUUAAUUCGUCAGAUCUCAUUAGAACUCUGCAGUUAGGCACGCUCGGGCUAGAGUAGUACUGGGAUGCGUGAUCGCCCAGGAAGUCCUAGUAUUUUACAUGCC
rnacentral:rRNA from 1 species